AAGCAACGCGAAGAACCUUACCAGGUCUUGACAUCCUUUGACCACUCUAGAGAUAGAGCUUCCCCUUCGGGGGCAAAGUGACAGGUGGUGCAUGGUUGUCGUCAGCUCGUGUCGUGAGAUGUUGGGUUAAGUCCCGCAACGAGCGCAACCCUUAUUGUUAGUUGCCAUCAUUUAGUUGGGCACUCUAGCAAGACUGCCGGUGACAAACCGGAGGAAGGUGGGGAUGACGUCAAAUCAUCAUGCCCCUUAUGACCUGGGCUACACACGUGCUACAAUGGGAAGUACAACGAGUCGCAAAGUCGCGAGGCUAAGCUAAUCUCUUAAAGCUUCUCUCAGUUCGGAUUGUAGGCUGCAACUCGCCUACAUGAAGCCGGAAUCGCUAGUAAUCGCGGAUCAGCACGCCGCGGUGAAUACGUUCCCGGGCCUUGUACACACCGCCCGUCACACCACGAGAGUUUGUAACACCCGAAGUCGGUGAGGUAACCUUUUGGAGCCAGCCGCCUAAGGUGGGAUAGAUGAUUGGGGUGAAGUCGUAACAAGGUAGCCGUAUCGGAAGGUGCGGCUGGAUCACCUCCUUUCUAAGGAA
rnacentral:rRNA from 1 species